AGUCGAACGGAAUUUACAUGAAGCCUAGCGAUUGUAAAUUUAGUGGCGGACGGGUGAGUAACGCGUGGGUAACCUGCCUUGUACUGGGGGACAACAGUUGGAAACGACUGCUAAUACCGCAUAAGCGCACAGCUUCGCAUGAAGCAGUGUGAAAAACUCCGGUGGUACAAGAUGGACCCGCGUCUGAUUAGCUGGUUGGUGAGGUAGCGGCCCACCAAGGCGACGAUCAGUAGCCGGCCUGAGAGGGUGAACGGCCACAUUGGGACUGAGACACGGCCCAAACUCCUACGGGAGGCAGCAGUGGGGAAUAUUGCACAAUGGGGGAAACCCUGAUGCAGCAACGCCGCGUGAGUGAAGAAGUAUUUCGGUAUGUAAAGCUCUAUCAGCAGGAAAGAAAAUGACGGUACCUGACUAAGAAACCCCGGCUAACUACGUGCCAGCAGCCGCGGUAAUACGUAGGGGGCAAGCGUUAUCCGGAUUUACUGGGUGUAAAGGGAGCGUAGACGGUUUUGCAAGUCUGAAGUGAAAGCCCGGGGCUUAACCCCGGGACUGCUUUGGAAACUGUAGGACUAGAGUGCAGGAGAGGUAAGUGGAAUUCCUAGUGUAGCGGUGAAAUGCGUAGAUAUUAGGAGGAACACCAGUGGCGAAGGCGGCUUACUGGACUGUAACUGACGUUGAGGCUCGAAAGCGUGGGGAGCAAACAGGAUUAGAUACCCUGGUAGUCCACGCCGUAAACGAUGAUUACUAGGUGUUGGUGGGUACGACCCAUCGGUGCCGCAGCAAACGCAAUAAGUAAUCCACCUGGGGAGUACGUUCGCAAGAAUGAAACUCAA
rnacentral:rRNA from 1 species